UAGUGGCCACUCCAACCACGUAGGCUGCCACGAUACACAAGGGGAUACAUAUCCAUCGGCUUCCCAGCAGCUACCACCCACGGCCGCGCCGCCGAACCGCGACCGCGACGUCACCCGGCGCGGAACAUGGCGUCGGCGUCUCCGCCUCCCACCACCGCCGGCGCGCGGCCCAGUCCCAGCACACCCUCCCCCUCGUCCUCCUCCCUUUCCACCGUCUCCCCCCACGGGCCCAUCUCCCUCUGCGGCGCCUCGAGGGCUUCCUCCGUCUCCGUCCAGCAACGGCGGGCAUCCCCUCUCGCCGGAAGGUCGCGCCUACCAGGCCCCAUCCGCUGCUCUGAUGCCUCCGGCGAGGUUGACGCACUUAUUGAAGAAACCAAGCAGCCACAAGGAGGCUCAACCGGGGAAAGAAAUAAUGACAAAGAUGUGUUCAGAAGAUUUUCACCUAAAGAGUAUUCACAACUAACUGUUGCUAGAACAAUUGAAGAGAUAUGGUGCUGCUGGAGUUUUGUCAUAUGGACUACUUAAUACUGUGUAUUAUGUCACCACCUUUUUAUUAGUUUGGUUCCAUUUUUCGCCUGCUCCUGGUAGGAUGGGCUAUGCUGCAGCAGUGGAGAGGUUCCUUAAAUUAAUGGCAAUGGUGUGGGCUGGCAGUCAGGUUACUAAAAUUCUUCGUGCAGGAGGAGCCCUUGCACUUGCUCCUCUUGUUGAUAGAGGACUGAGAUGGUUCACUGUGAAGUUCAACUUCCAGUCAGAAGGAAAGGCAUUUGCGACGAUCGUAGGGUUAUGCUUUGCACUUGCUGCGCUUAUGUUCGUUGGAUUGACAGUACUUUGGGCAUAGCGCAUAUGUUUCUGAUGACAGUCAAGGGAUUAAGGCAAGAUGUUGUGGAGGUACAGCCGUACAGGCGUUCAACAUUCACAUUUAGCUGAUAGGCUUAGUUACAACAUUUUCAGCAUAAAUAUUCCUGUAUCAGGAACCUGUCGGCAGUGUUUUUUAGUCCUUGUAAUGGAAACAGAGUUUGUGGUGGACAUGGAAUCUGUUUUGAUGUUUAAACAGCCUCUGGAGUCAAACAUGUUGAUGUUCUUCUUUCUAGCA